ensembl:lncRNA
GCGGGUGUGUGAGCGGAAGCGUUACACAGUCGCUCCACCUCAAGUCACUACUCCAAAUUUGCAAGAUGGCAGCCUCCAUCUGAGACUGAGACCUGACAUUUUUUCAUGUCGCUACGGGGGGGGCAAGGCUGUGGUUUCCUACAUCCCCAAGCAAAGAAAAAAGGUUGUCUUAUUGAGCACCAGGCACCGUGAGCUACAAGUCCAGGACUCUGGGAAGAGAAAGCCCCACAUCAUCCUGGAUUAUAACAAAUGCAAAGGGACUGUGGAUCAUCUGGACCAGGUUUGUGGCAACUACUCCUGCCGUAGGAGGACACGUAGGUGGCCCAUGUGUCUGUUCUACCACAUGAUCGAGGGUUGUUCCAGAUAGGUGUACGUUUGCAUGGGAUUAAUGAAGACGCCGUCAAUUUUAGAAACUCCCACCACGCUGUCAGAGAAGAGCUGAUGUUGAUGCUUUUAAAGCAUUCAUGUCGUUGGAUGUUUGAGCUGAUAAAUGUUUUCCACAGACGGUCUUCAUCGGAUCCUGACGUCGUGACGCCUGCGCUGGAAAAAAUCUGUGCACAGUAAACAAGAAAAACCGGGAGCGUGAAUUCGAUCUCCGGUCAGCGUCUUAUACAGGCCUUCAUGGCUCCAGGACCCGAUGAGUGCCGGAUUCAAAACGCAGCGCCACAGUAAGUCUCUUGCAGGUUGAACCCCGGUGACUGGAUUCUGAUUAAAAUCCUCCAGCGAAAAAACUGGAGUUCUCCGCGGUGGGAGGGUCCAUUCCAGGUGUUGCUGACUACACCGACAGCUUGUAAGAUAGCUGAAAGACCUUCGUGGAUCCAUCAAAGUCACGUGAAGAAAGUGUUUGCACCACAAUAAGACGCCGGUUCCCCCGACUCUUUGGUGUUCCCUGGUGGAGGGAAAGGCUGAUUGGGUAUAUCCCGCCUUUUACCUUCUCGCCAGUGGUCUACUCACCUGGAGCCCGGGUGUGCCUGGUCGCCCUGAAGAACAAACACAUAAUAAAGAGUGACCCAUCCCACCAAAGAGAAGAACCAAUGACAACACCAGGGACGCCUGAAAUAGAGGAAACCAGCCCGAUGAAUCCAGGAGAAGAAGAGCCACCAGCCCCAGCUUCAAAGCUGUUAUGCUUAAGUGCUUGUCACUUUGAACGGAAACGGUUCAUGUGUCGCCUGAUCUGUUUGACGGCCGUCAUCGUAGUGAUGAUGCUCUUCUGGCUGAUACCUGGAAGAGCCCCCAGAGCAGCACCAAUUAUUCCCCGUCUCAAGAGGUGGACCCAUGACAAUUCCCAUCUAACUGAAAUGACUCAAGAGCACAUUCACCCAUGGAUGAAUAAUGCCUGGUACCGAUACCUAUACAAUACAAUAGAAGAAAAAGACUGUUAUGUCUGCUCCCAUAUGCCUAGUACUUCAGUCUACCCCACCAUAUAUGGUCGCAUGAUGAACAGUCACUGGCAAAGUGAAUGUGCAGCAAGUUUCGCCAGCAUUGGAA